ACUGGGCAUGGCGCGCGGGGGUGCACGGGGCGGACGCGCAGUUCUGGGGGCGCACGGCUCUGGACUCUGCUCACUCACGCGGCCUCUCCCUCGCCCUCGACUCCGCCGCAGCCUGGACCGGUCCUCGCGGUCUCCCGACAGCCAACGAUGGUUUACAAACACACAUGCACUUCGCUGAAGGAUGUCUGGGCAAUCCCGCCUCCCGCUCGGCGUCCUUGGCGACGCUCUGCACCAGGACCUGCCCCGAGGUCACGCAGAAAAGACAAAAGGGCAGUCGGGCCGCCGCAGCCGGGCAGAAAUAUCCACUAGUCAGCACUCCGGCGAGGAACUCCAAGAGGCCAAGUGGAGGAUGAGAGCUGCUGCGAAGACUGAGUGGGGACUGACUGGGGGCGGACUUAAAAACCAGGCAGACCGGAAGGAGUGGAAAGGCAAAGGCCAAGGUUGGAGGUGUCAGCGUCCUGCUGGGGCGUACUGGAGAAUGGCUCGGUGGCAGGUGGGCGGGUGGGAUCCACUACUCCAGGCAGAGCCAGGCGGCAGCUGAAUGGCAGUAGUGUGUGCGCGCGUGUCAACCCCGCUCGUCUCCCAGAUAAGCCGCAGCUCCGCGGCAGACACCUGAUGGCAAAGGUAGAAGAAACAAGAGCCGGGUUCCGGAGGGCGCAGAGCCACGGCCGGCCCCCGGCGGUCUCCCACUAGUGGUUCGUCCUUCUCAAAGUGCAGCAACUUUUCCCAGGCUUUGAAUUCCGUCCCCCAAGGCCACAGUGGCGGUACCCCUGCCGGCGUGGCGACGCCGCCCGGCUCCUGGCGCUGCACCUGACGCGGCGGCCGCAGUCCCGGGUAGUCCUUCUCCUUCUAGCCCCUUCCCCUCUCCCGCUGCUUUCCUGGCCUCCCGCUCCAGGGAGCGAGGUCGGGGAGAGGGAGGGCGACGACUCAGAGCGGGGACUCGGUGGCUCUGCCGACUCCGGAGCCCCUGGCAAGUGUCUAAACAAUAGGACGGACGCAGCAGCCCAAGUCUCGCUUGUCUGGAAGGAAGGUGGGUUGUUGUCGUAACUGGAGUUGUUCGCUGGGGCUGACUGGCGCUCAGCGUAGCCAAACAAAAACCCGGCCCGCGCCUCCGGAGCCGGCUGCGGGCCCCCGGCGCUCCCCUUUCUGC
rnacentral:lncRNA from 1 species